rnacentral:rRNA from 1 species
UACGGGGGGAGCAAGCGUUGUUCGGAUUUACUGGGCGUAAAGGGCGCGUAGGCGGCGUGGUAAGUCACUUGUGAAAUCUCUGAGCUUAACUCAGAACGGUCAAGUGAUACUGCUGUGCUAGAGUGCAGAAGGGGCAAUCGGAAUUCUUGGUGUAGCGGUGAAAUGCGUAGAUAUCAAGAGGAACACCUGAGGUGAAGACGGGUUGCUGGGCUGACACUGACGUGAGGCGCGAAAGCCAGGGGAGCAAACGGG